GACAGAGGGUGCAAACGUUGCUCGGAAUCACUGGGCGUAAAGGGCGUGUAGGCGGGAAGGAAAGUCGGGCGUGAAAUCCCUGGGCUCAACCCCAGGAACUGCACUCGAAACUUCUUUUCUUGAGUGCCGGAGAGGAAAGCGGAAUUCCUGGUGUAGAGGUGAAAUUCGUAGAUAUCAGGAGGAACACCAGUGGCGAAGGCGGCUUUCUGGACAAUCAACUGACGCUGAGACGC
rnacentral:rRNA from 1 species